rnacentral:rRNA from 1 species
AUGCCGAAGCAUAUGCCGAAAGGAGGCGUCGCCGAUGACGGUUCCAAGACCGCCGAGCAGAGCUCGGCUGAGGACACCCGUGCGGCGGACGCGCUCGCGCUGCGAGGCAAGCCGGGAGGUGAGCUGGGCGCGUCACGCUCCGUGCGAGACGUGGGCAUGUCCAGCACCUCCUUCCCUCUCCUCACGCGGACCAACUACCCCAGUUGGUCGGUCAUGAUGAAAGUCAUCAUGGAGGCGCGGCAUGUGUGGAAAGCCGUGGAAACCGGCGAUGUCGAAUACGAGGAGGACCGGCUGGCGAUGGAGGCGAUCUUGCGCUCCGUCCCAGAGGAGAUGGUGCUCACCCUUGGCGCCAAGAAGACGGCCAAGGAAGCAUGGGAGACCAUCAAGACUCUGCGCAUCGGCGUGGAGCGCGUACGGGAGUCGAAGGCCCAGACCUUGCGCCUCCAGUACGAGGAGAUCCGGUUCAAGGCCGGUGAACAAGUCGACGACUUCGCCUUGCGGCUGCAAGGUCUCAUCAACGAGCUCGCAACGCUCGGAGAUCCCAUCGACAACAAGAUGGUGAUUCUCAAGUUUCUCCGCGUCGUCCCCAGGCAGUACAAGCAACUGGCCCGGUCCAUCGAGAGCUUGGUGGAUCUCUCCACCAUGACGAUCGAGGAGCUAGUAGGGCGGCUGAAGGUCGUCGAGGAGCGCGGCGACGACGCCAACAACCGUGCUGGCGGCGAACUACUGCUCACCAGGGAGCAGUGGGACGCGCAGCUUCAGUAG